rnacentral:rRNA from 1 species
AUUGAACGCUGGCGGCAUGCUUUACACAUGCAAGUCGAACGGUAACAGGUUAAGCUGACGAGUGGCGAACGGGUGAGUAAUGCAUCGGAACGUGCCCGGUCGUGGGGGAUAACGCAGCGAAAGCUGCGCUAAUACCGCAUACGAUCUAAGGAUGAAAGCGGGGGACCGUAAGGCCUCGCGCGAUCGGAGCGGCCGAUGUCAGAUUAGGUAGUUGGUGGGGUAAAGGCUCACCAAGCCAACGAUCUGUAGCUGGUCUGAGAGGACGACCAGCCACACUGGGACUGAGACACGGCCCAGACUCCUACGGGAGGCAGCAGUGGGGAAUUUUGGACAAUGGGCGAAAGCCUGAUCCAGCAAUGCCGCGUGCAGGAAGAAGGCCCUCGGGUUGUAAACUGCUUUUGUACGGAACGAAAAGGUUUCUACUAAUACUAGGAGCUCAUGACGGUACUGUAAGAAUAAGCACCGGCUAACUACGUGCCAGCCGCCGCGGUAA